AGCUUCCCUGGUUGACAGCACCUCUCAUGUGUUUUCACAAGUUCUUGCUGGAGGAAUGAAGUGUCUCCUUUGUGACUCCACUGGGAGAGGAUGCUUGAAAGCUCAUGCCUGGUUGCCUCUGGACGUCACUCCACGUGCUUUCGCUGAGUUUGCUUUGUAUCCUUUUGCUGCAAUAGAGCACAGCUGCAGGACAAAGUGAGAUCCAACCAAGCCCUGGGGAGCCAGUCCAGGGGGGCAGAUCAUCCUCUGAUCAUUCUACAGGCACGUGAUGAGUUCUCAGAACAGCUGUGAAGAUGAUGCAAAUCUGGAGCUGCCUGUGCCACCAGAAGGAGCCUGAGAAUUAAGCCAAAGCAGAAGACAGUGAGUGGAGAGGUGGAGAGCAAGAGGGAGUGAGGCUGGAUGACAUCAUAUGAGCUUCUCGAUCCGUCAAAGCUUGAAGCCCGGACAACUAAUUCCCUUUAUGGUUACGGCAAACAUUAAAAAUUGACAACCAUUAAAAAUUCAUUAAAAUCAUUAAAA